rnacentral:misc_RNA from 1 species
CCAAUAGCGUAUAUUAAAGUUGUUGCAGUUAAAAAGCUCGUAGUUGAAUUUUGGGUUUGGCCGAUUGGUCCGUUCUUGUAGCGAGUACUGGUCGGUUGGGCCUCACCGCUUGGGGAAGGGUAAUGUCCUUUAUUGGGUGUUGCUCGGAGCCAAGACCUUUACCUUGAAAAAAUUAGAGUGUUUAAAGCAGGCUUAUGCCGGAAUACAUUAGCAUGGAAUAAUAGAAUAGGACAACGAUUCUAUUUUGUUGGUUUCUAGGACCGUUGUAAUGAUUAAUAGGGAUAGUUGGGGGCAUUAGUAUUCAAUUGUCAGGGGUGAAAUUCUUGGAUUUAUUGAAGACUAACUACUGCGAAAGCAUUUGCCAAGGAUGUUUUCAUUAAUCAAGAACGAAAGUUAGGGGAUCGAAGACGAUCAGAUACCGUCGUAGUCUUAACCAUAAACUAUGCCGACUAGGGAUCGGGCGAUGUUGUUUCAAUGACUCGCUCGGCACCUUAUG